rnacentral:rRNA from 2 species
GUCAGCUCGUGUCGUGAGAUGUUGGGUUAAGUCCCGCAACGAGCGCAACCCUUGAUCUUAGUUGCCAGCAUUCAGUUGGGCACUCUAAGGUGACUGCCGGUGACAAACCGGAGGAAGGUGGGGAUGACGUCAAAUCAUCAUGCCCCUUAUGACCUGGGCUACACACGUGCUACAAUGGAUAGUACAAAGGGUUGCAAGACCGCGAGGUGGAGCUAAUCCCAUAAAACUAUUCUCAGUUCGGAUUGUAGGCUGCAACUCGCCUACAUGAAGCCGGAAUCACUAGUAAUCGCGGAUCAGCAUGCCGCGGU